rnacentral:rRNA from 1 species
CCUACGGGAGGCAGCAGUGAGGAAUAUUGGUCAAUGGUCGGGAGACUGAACCAGCCAAGCCGCGUGAGGGAGGAAGGUACAGAGUAUCGUAAACCUCUUUUGUCAGGGAACAAAGACUGGGACGCGUCCCCGGAUUAGUGUACCUGACGAAAAAGCAUCGGCUAACUCCGUGCCACCAGCCGCGGUAAUACGGAGGAUGCGAGCGUUAUCCGGAUUUAUUGGUUUUAAAGGGAGCGAAGGGGGCCUUUUAAGUAAGCGGUAAAAGCCCGGGGCACAACCCGGGCCCGCCGUUGAAACUGGCAGUCUCGAGUUGGAGAGAAGUAUGCGGAAUGCGCGGUGUAGCGGUGAAAUGCAUAGAUAUCGCGCAGAACUCCGAUUGCGAAGGCAGCAUGCCGGCUCCACACUGACGCUGAGGCACGAAAGCGUGGGUAUCGAACAGGAUUAGAUACCCGAGUAGUC